GUUGAGAGGGAGUGAUCAUAAGAAAACUCAGGAAAGAGAAAGGAGGGACUUUCAGUGGAAGGGCGUUUAAGGCAGCAUGGAGAAGGAGAAGCAGCCUUUCCCUUCUGGGUCAUCGGUGGAGUAGGACGGUCAGCUGGCUGCUUUCUCUGCCUCUCUGAGCUCUCAGGCUUUCACCACAGCAUCUGGCUCCCAAGUCUUCAUUUGAUAACUCUGGUUUCUGCAGCAAGGUGACAUGGGACUAGCCAGCGAGACUAGCCAGCACAUCCUCCCUGUAUGGGAAUCCUCCUGCCUCUACCUCUCAGGACACCAUGAGGAGCUUGCUGUGGCUGCUGAAACUCAGGCUUUGAGCCAUCAUUUGCUGCUUCACACCACAUCUACCCGCUUACCCACUCAACCUCAUCAUGAGAGCAUCAUGGGCUACCAGGUGUUCCAGAGCAGGUUUCUAGAACGCCAGGGUCUGCCAUGGCAUUAUCUGAUAGAAGUGGUUGAGAGAGGCAUCCCAAAUUCAUCCGAAGGGAAAGCAAGCAGGAGAGCAAGGUGUGUGAAGCUGUGUAGCCAGACACAGACAUACACUCAGGAAGUCUGCCUUUAGCCUCCCCUUGGGAGCUCAUGAGCACAGAUACAUCACAUAAUUGCCCCGUCUCCCUGAGUGAGAGCCCAAACUCUUAUAACCUCUACUAAUUACUCAUUAGCUGCAAGCCAUAUCACUCCCACGGGUGGCACAGUAUCCCUACAUGUGUGGCUAAGGAGUCAUUGGCAACCAGCACUCCCAGAAGCCUUCAGACAGGUCCUGCUCGGGGCACCAAGGGCUCCAAAGUGGUACAUGCCUCCUCCUUCCAACAUUUCUCAAGAUCCUGUGGCUACUUUUUAAUUUCAUCUCAAUGAGUACAGUUGCUCGAUAAAUAUCUGAGAGAGAAGUAAAAGGAGAUUUUUAAAAAGAGACACAAAUGUUACUGAACAUAGUAGGAACUUCCUGAGUCUUACAACUCAUAUCAGGGAGGUACAGUCAGCAAAUAUGCUCACAGUCUUUUCAUACAGUGACCAGCUUUUAAAUGCCAGGUUUAAAAAGGAGCCCAAGCCCAUAGCUUUGUGUGAUGGCUAAUCUUGUUGGUCAACUUGACACACCUGACAUGAGAGAAUCUCACUUGAAGAAUUUGCCAAAUGAUGUAGGCCCGUGGGCACACCUACGGGGCAUUUUAUGGAUUUCUAGUUGAUGUCGGAGGGCCCAGGUCCCUGUGGGCCUUAGGCCUGUUGCUUAGGCUUGUCAGCCUGGACCUUCAAGAAAGGCAAGCAUCUGUCUAAGAAAUCUCAGCUGACGAGGGAGCCAGGAAGCAGCAUUCUUCUGUGGUCUCUGCUUCAGUUCCUGCCUUCGGGUUCCCCCUUGGACCUCCCCCUCAGUGAUGAACUGUAAGGAGAAGUACAAGCCCGAUAUACCCUCUCCUUCCCCGUCUGGCUUUUGGUCAUUCUGUUUAUUCACAGGGAGCAAACUAGGUCAGCGUGGCUAUGCCCACCCUCUAUGCCCUGACUCCGUUUGGUUCUGAGGUCUGGACAGAUGCCUUGUUCAAUUCUGCUGGCCGUAUACAGGUUUGUCUGUGCUUCGGUGGCUUGCCUCAGUCCUGUACUGACUCAGUAGGUGCAAGUCACAUGUGCUUAUUGUUUUCUAAGUAUGCUGCACAAGUACGCCUCUUCUCCUUGCUGCAGUGCAGACCCGUGACGGCUUGCUUUGCUGGAGGCUGUGCUCUCCUAUUUAAUAACUGCUGAAGCUCUAACAAUGAGGCGAAGGCUUCCUCUCAAACAAGCAUUGCAAAUGCAAAUACUCCAGACAAGCACUGUAACGAGAGUGAGUGAAUUCAGCCAGGUAUCAAGUAAUAACAAACCGGCGGGCACGAAAUCAGAAAUCAGAGUGUUUACAAUACCCUACAGGACAAACAGAACACCUGUGCAGGGCAGGGCUGACCAAUGGGUCACCCGUGGGUGGCCCAAAGGCUCUGAAUUCCCCGAGCUGGAAAUGCCAGUUAAUUACAGAAGGCCUGGAUCUAUCUUCUGUUUGCCUGGGUCACCCGGGAGCCCAAAGCUGGCGUUGCUUGUCUCUGCCUACCUUGGAUAAAACAAAGCAUCAGAUUCGCCAGGCAUGCUGCCCCAUCCUGAAGAACCAGAAUCGAGGAUCCAGGGACACUCCCUGCCCCACCCAGGGAAAUCUGACUCAUAAGGGCAACUAACACCAAACCCCCUUGUUAAGAGUGGGUUUCUCCCAUUCUGUUCCUUAAGCUCUUCCUAGUGAUGUGAAGAAAGCUUGUUUGAUAAAGCUCGAUUCUAGGUCUUUCUAACUCACAGAGGGUUUUGUUCUUUUUCGUCGUGAGCAUGAUUCUUUUCAUGAUUUGAUUAUGAAGCCAAAUUACAUAAGGUCCCAUACCAAGUGUUUGAGCGGAUGUGAAGAAAUCAGUCCUCUUUACAUACGCGGCCGGUGUGGAAACAGUAAGCCAGUUUCUCAAAGGCUUAAAACAUAGACUCACAUAUGACUCAAUCUACUCCUGGGUAUCUGCCCAAGAGAUAACAUAUGCCCACAUAUCUUGGAUAUAUUCAUAGCAGCAUUUUCUCAGUAACCCCAAAAGGAGACAACCACAAUGCUGCCUACCCACAGCAGAGUGGAUACAUUAAAUCUUGUACAGCCACACAGUGGGAUGACAGACAGACAGCAAGGGACAGAGAGGGAUAAAGCUCUGAUCAACAUCACAACACGGAAGACGUUUGACAACACGAUGCUGUUUUCGAAGAGUGCUUGCCACGAGAGAGCACAUGAUCUUCACAUAUUUGAAGUCUCCAGGGUAGGCAGCCUCUAGAGAUCGAAAGGAGAUCUAUGGUUGCCAAGAGCUGGAAGAAGGAACAGAAGCAAGUAGACAUGGAAUUUCUUUUUGCAGUGGUGAAAGUCUGUAAACACAUUAUGUUGAUGGUGGUAUUAACCUCUUGAAUAUACUAAAUAUAAAUCGAAUUGCCCAUAUCAAAUGAUAUAGAUUCAUCAAAUGAAUAAAUUAACAAGUAAAUUAUGUGUCAACCAAGAAAUCAUAUGGUAUGGGAAAUGUAGCUCCAUUAGUAGUGUUUGUUUAGCCUGCAUAAAGCCCUGAGUUCAAUCCCUAUUACUGCACAAACUAGGCAUAGUGUUUAAUGCCAGAGAGCCCAGAACUUGUUAGGUUCCAGGAGUCAACAGCAGCCCCAGCUACAUAGCAAGUUCGAAGCCAGCCUUGACACACUCGAAAACCUGACUAACCAUAAAAAAGCCGGGCAGUGACGAUG